GGCUUAGUAGCUCAACUGGUAGAGCGCUUGCCGUGUUGAGGCAUCCUGUGUCUUUCACUGGUUGGAAUCCAGUCGAAGCCC
rnacentral:tRNA from 1 species